UACGGAGGGGGCAAGCGGUAUCCGGAAUUAUUGGGCGUAAAGCGCCCGUAGGUGGUUGGCCAAGUCUGCUGUCAAAGGGUGGGGCUUAACCUCAUAAAGGCAGUGGAAACUGGCGAGCUAGAGUGCGGUAGGGGUAGGGGGAAUUCCCAGUGUAGCGGUGAAAUGCGCAGAGAUUGGGAAGAACAUCGGUGGCGAAAGCGCCCUGCUGGGCCUGCACUGACACUGAGGGACGAAAGCUAGGGGAGCGAAAGGG
rnacentral:rRNA from 1 species